rnacentral:rRNA from 1 species
AUGAACGCUGGCGGCGUGCCUAAUCCAUGCCAGUCGAGCGAACGGACGAGAAGCUUGCUUCUCUGAUGUUAGCGGCGGACGGGUGAGUAACACGUGGAUAACCUACCUAUAAGACUGGGAUAACUUCGGGAAACCGGAGCUAAUACCGGAUGAUAUUUUGAACCGCAUGGUUCAAAAGUGAAAGACGGUCUUGCUGUCACUUAUAGAUGGAUCCGCGCUGCAUUAGCUAGUUGGUAAGGUAACGGCUUACCAAGGCAACGAUGCAUAGCCGACCUGAGAGGGUGAUCGGCCACACUGGAACUGAGACACGGUACAGACUCCUACGGGAGGCAGCAGUAGGGAAUCUUCCGCAAUGGGCGAAAGCCUGACGGAGCAACGCCGCGUGAGUGAUGAAGGUCUUCGGAUCGUAAAACUCUGUUAUUAGGGAAGAACAUAUGUGUAAGUAACUGUGCACAUCUUGACGGUACCUAAUCAGAAAGCCACGGCUAACUACGUG